UAGGAUGCGAGGAGUCAUCCCAAGACAAAACAUGGCCAGACAAGUGAGCCAGAUAAAGAGGCAGUGGAUGCAGAUCAGUUUGUGGUUGAUUUUCCUGGCACCCAUUUCGUGGGCCGACCCGGCCUCUUUCUCUCAGGUUCACGCAGGGGAAAGGCUCUUCGAGGUGCUGGAAAGAAGACUUUGUCUCCUUCCUUUUCGGCUUGGACCAGCCCUAUCAGUGGAGUUUUCUAGGCAAAUCUGGUCCCCACCCCACCCCCCACAAAUCAGGCUGCAAGCUCUUCUCUUCGAGAGUCAUCUUGUUCACUUCUGUGCCCUUAGUGCCCAGGACAGUUGGUGCUCACAUAAAUAUAUCCAGAAAACAAAAAUGGAUGGAUGGAUCAAUAGACAGGUGGCUGGAUGAAGGAUUAUGAUGGCACCCUUGCCCUUGACUGGCCCUCAGGCCAGUUGAGAGGUCAAGAUACACAGUUUGCAAGUGCAGAAAACAGUUUGCAAGUGCAGAAAACAAUAUUUAGGCAUCAAAUUGAAGGUGUAAUCUGUGGAGUCCAAAUCAUUUGGGAGGCCAAUGAGAAUAAGCCUCACAGGUCUUCAGCUAUAGGAAGUGUAAUUAACUAUGGGCCUCACCUGCUGUGUUCUGAAAUCCAUCUACGCUGAGGCCACAUUUCCCAUAGGCUGCUCCCAGCCAGUGACUGAUCAUAGCAGGGUUACUAGGGCAGGCUCCUUCCUGGGAGACAACCAACUCCUCUGACAGCUGGCCUUGCCUGAGGACUCCUCAACAGCUUUGCCAAAGCUUCUUUAAACUGCAUGACGGUCUAGGAUGCUUUCAUCCAACCUUUUCUUCCUCUGUUCUUCACUUGGAGUCAGACUUUUGUGGAGGCCUGAUGGCCCCCAUUCUUUUUGGUUCCCUCUCCUUUUUUUUUCUCCCUCACAUAGACAUUUCCCCUAGUAAAAUCCUUGCAUAUUUA